GACGAACCGAGCGAACGUUAUUCGGAAUCACUGGGCUUAAAGGGCGCGUAGGCGGGCCGUCAAGUCAGGGGUGAAAGCCCCCAGCUCAACUGGGGAAGUGCCUUUGAUACUGGCGGUCUCGAGGGGGAUAGGGGCGUGCGGAACUUCCGGUGGAGCGGUGAAAUGCGUAGAUAUCGGAAGGAACACCGGUGGCGAAAGCGGCGCGCUGGAUCCCUUCUGACGCUGAGGCGCGAAAGCCAGGGGAGCGAAUGGG
rnacentral:rRNA from 1 species